rnacentral:rRNA from 1 species
UACAGAGGUCUCAAGCGUUGUUCGGAUUCAUUGGGCGUAAAGGGCGCGUAGGCGGCCGUGUAAGUCACUUGUGAAAUCCCGGGGCUCAACUCCGGGGCUGCAGGUGAGACUGCGUGGCUAGAGCUUGGUAGAGGCGAGUGGAAUUCCCGGUGUAGCGGUGGAAUGCGUAGAUAUCGGGGAAGAACACCGGUGGCGAAGGCGGCUCGCUGGGCCAAUGCUGACGCUGAGGCGCGAAAGCGUGGGGAGCAAACAGG